AUUGAACGCUGGCGGCAUGCUUUACACAUGCAAGUCGAACGGGGCAGCAAUGCCUAGUGGCGAACGGGUGAGUAAUGCAUCGGAACGUACCGUGUAAUGGGGGAUAACGCAGCGAAAGUUGUGCUAAUACCGCAUGCGUCCUUAGGGAGAAAGUGGGGAUCGUAAGACCUCACGGUAUACGAGCGGCCGAGGUCGGAUUAGCUAGGUGGGGAGGGAAAGGCUAACCAAGGGGGCGAUCCGUAGCGGGUCUGAGAGGAUGGUCCGCCACACUGGGACUGAGACACGGCCCAGACUCCUGCGGGAGGCAGCAGUGGGGAAUUUUGGACAAUGGGCGCAAGCCUGAUCCAGCCAUGCCGCGUGAGUGAAGAAGGCCUUCGGGUUGUAAAGCUCUUUUGUCAGGAAGGAAAUCCUGGUGGUUAAUACCUGCCGGGGAUGACAGUACCUGAAGAAUAAGCACCGGCUAACUACGUGCCAGCCGCCGCAGUAA
rnacentral:rRNA from 1 species